UCACCACUUGCAGGCAAUGGUGAUUUUCACUUACAUAGAGUACUAAUUUGAUUAUGGAAAAAUCAUGUUGAUUCAUAAUUUUCAUUUUAAAAGUGUAUUCAUUCCUUCUACAAAUCCAUACUGUCAUGCCUAUUCCCCAAUAUCGUCAACGCGGAUAGUUCGUUAGUCGAAAAUACUGAAUAAUUAAACAAACCAAAUGGCAUCACUGGUGGUUCUUUUUUCCACUCCGCUAAAUUGUCAUCUCAAACAAAAACAAAUGGAUCAUACAACUGCUAUGAAUACAUUCGACUCGUUCGCUUCCAUCAAUCGGUAAGUGAGAAAGAUGAUUUCUCCCAUCAGCACAGUGCGGAUUUCCACUUUUAUCACAGCAGCCAACAACAUCCGUUUUCCUGCAGCAGUAACCUCCAACCCCUGUUGGCAAUGUCGGGGGACAGCAUUAACAGCAGCAGCAGCAGAAUUUGACCAUGGUAUGGUAUUGCGAAGAACUUUCCCCAUUAGAGGUUCCGUGCUUCGCGCACAUUCAAAAUCCUCUUCAGACACGAAAACUCAACGACAAGGAGGUAUUUAUCAACUUGCUCAGCUGAAUAACCACCCGGAGGAACCCGAAUGCACUGAUUCCGUUGUAUAGUAGAAUGAAAAUAGGCGAGGUAAGCGAACGUAAUCGCAUGAUAUUUUAAUAGUUCGCAUUUUUAUCCGGAUCAUACAACUGCUAUGAAUACAUCCGACUCAAUCAAUCGGCGAGUGAGAAAGAUGAUUUCCCUCAUCACCACAUUGCUUAUUUCCACUUCUGUCACGCCAGCCAACAGCAUCAGCUUUCCCGCAGCAGUAUCCUUUAAGUCCAGGGUGCUAUUCCGGGGAACAGCAGCAGGACCUGGCCAUCGAUAGUAUUUCGAGCAAUUUUCCCCAUCGGAGAUCCCGUGCUUCACGCACAUUGAAGAAACCUCCUCAGCCACAUAUGUGUGUCAAGGAGAAAAAGGAGCUGGAUUCGAAUCGUCAAUCCAGACAACCCGAAUGCACCGAUUGCAUUAUAUAUCUUGUUUAUAUUUUAUAUGCAUUUUGUGUUUUUUUGAAUAAAAUGAUUAAAAUCGA